rnacentral:rRNA from 1 species
UACAGAGGUCUCAAGCGUUUGUUCGGAUUCAUUGGGCGUAAAGAGCUCGUAGGUGGUUUGUCGCGUUGUUCGUGAAAACUCACAACUCAAUUGUGGGCGUGCGGGCGAUACGGGCAGACUGGAGUACUGCAGGGGAGACUGGAAUUCCUGGUGUAGCGGUGAAAUGCGUAGAUAUUGGGAGGAACACCGGUGGCGAAGGCGGCUACCUGGACCGGUACUGACGCUGAGGCGCGGAAAGCUAGGGUAGCAAACAGG